CUACGGGCCGCUCCAGUGGUGAAUAUUGGACAAUGGGGGAAACCCUGAUCCAGCAAUGCCGCGUGUGUGAAGAAGGCCUGCGGGUUGUAAAGCACUUUCGGUUGGGAGGACUGCUUCUAGCACUAAUAUUGUUGGAAGUUGACGUUACCUUCAGAAGAAGCACCGGCUAACUCCGUGCCAGCAGCCGCGGUAAUACGGAGGGUGCAAGCGGUUAAUCGGAAUUACUGGGCGUAAAGCGCGCGUAGGCGGCUAGAUCAGUCGGGUGUGAAAGCCCCGGGCUUAACCUGGGAACUGCAUCCGAUACUGUCUAGCUUGAGUACAGGAGAGGAGAGUGGAAUUCCACAUGUAGCGGUGAAAUGCGUAGAUAUGUGGAGGAACACCAAUGGCGAAGGCAGCUCUCUGGCCUGAUACUGACGCUGAGGUGCGAAAGCGUGGGGAGCAAACAGGAUUAGAUACCCGUGUAGUC
rnacentral:rRNA from 1 species